AACUGAUACUACCUGCGGGAACCUGCGGAAGGAUCAUUACCGAGUUUACAACUCCCAAGCCCAAUGUGAACGUUACCAAACUGUUGCCUCGGCGGGAUCUCUGCCCCGGGUGCGUCGCAGCCCCGGACCAAGGCGCCCGCCGGAGGACCAACCAAAACUCUUUUGUAUACCCCCUCGCGGGUUUUUUUAUAUCUGAGCCAUCUCGGCGCCUCUCGUAGGCGUUUCGAAAAUGAAUCAAAA
rnacentral:misc_RNA from 1 species